GUGAACGCUGGCGGUAGGCCUAACACAUGCCAGUCGCACGGCAGCACAGUAAGCGCUUGCUCUUACGGGUGGCGAGUGGCGGACGGGUGAGGAAUACAUCGGAAUCUACUUUUUCGUGGGGGAUAACGUAGGGAAACUUACGCUAAUACCGCAUACGACCUACGGGUGAAAGCAGGGGAUCUUCGGACCUUGCGCGAUUGAAUGAGCCGAUGUCGGAUUAGCUAGUUGGCGGGGUAAAGGCCCACCAAGGCGACGAUCCGUAGCUGGUCUGAGAGGAUGAUCAGCCACACUGGAACUGAGACACGGUCCAGACUCCUACGGGAGGCAGCAGUGGGGAAUAUUGGACAAUGGGCGCAAGCCUGAUCCAGCCAUACCGCGUGGGUGAAGAAGGCCUUCGGGUUGUAAAGCCCUUUUGUUGGGAAAGAAAAGCAGCAGGCUAAUACCCCGCUGUUCUGACGGUACCCAAAGAAUAAGCACCGGCUAACUUCGUG
rnacentral:rRNA from 1 species